GUGGGGCAGGCUCUGAAUGGCCAUUCCUUGAGUUGCUGCUCUAAACUUUGCUUCCAUAUCCCCUCCUAUGGAUUUUUUCCCCCUUUUAAGGAGGAGUAGGAGCAUCCGCGUUUUGGUCAUCCUUCUUCUUGAGCUUCCUGUGGUCUGUGGAUUGCAUCUUGGGUAAUUCGAGCUUUUUGGCUAAUAUCCACUUGUCAAUGAGUGCAUACCAUGUGUAUUUUUCUGUGAUUGAGUAACCUCACUCAGGAUGAUAUUUUCUAUAGGUUUGGUGAUGUAGCUUAAUGGUAGAGGAUGAUAUUUUCUAGUUCCAUCCAUUUGCCUAUGAAUUUCAUGAAGUCAUUGUUUUUGAUAGCUGAGUAGUACUCCACUGUGUAGAUGUACCACAUUUUUUUGAACACCUUUUAAAAAGUACUGUGUCUUUAAACCAAAAUAGAGUAAAUAAAAUGUACAGAAGAGGUUAGAGGAAAAAUUAUUGUAGCAAAAGCCUAUUUUAUGCACAAAUGUUUACUCCCAAGAAUAGACAUGCCAGUUUUUCAAGUGCCUUAUUUAUAAUAAAUUAUUCUAAAAAUUAUUAUGAGAUUAAUUUAGGUUGCAACAAUCCAUAACAACAAUAAUUGUUUUUAAAGUAAAAUUAAUUUGAAGUAAAAUAUACAUCUAGGUACUUUGCAGAAUAAUAGGCCUUGAACAGGCAAUAUCAUGCCAUUUCUUAAAACUUAAGGCUAACCUUGUCCACCAGUGUGGUGAGGAUAUCCAGUUAACCAGGAAAGUCUCUUAUGAGAAGAAAAACUAAAGGAGCCAAGGAAAGCCAACUCCUCAGCACAUCUUUCUUUUUGCUUCUCCAGACCCCCAAUACUCCCCUCACAAGAUGGAGUUUUGUCAUAUGGAGGAACUUAAAAAGCAGUCAUCCCGUGUGGACACCCUCACUAACCCCUUUUGUAAAUUGCAAUCACUUACUAUACAGGAUUAUUUCUGGCAAUUUUUUCUGAUAAAAGAAGAAAUUAAUAGUUUGUGCACAAACUGUAACAACACGGAAUUGUCUGAAAUCGAAGGCCAAGUUUGCCAACAACGGCAUCCCUCAGAGAUAGCCAGUCUUCACACACCAACGCCUCUCCUUACAGCGCUUUGCCUCCGCACAUGCGCACAUGGGCGUUUUUUCCGUGAUACAAGGGAUCACGCUACGAUGCUAUUUUGCACCUUGACCUUUCUGCACGAGAAUAUAUUUAAAUAUCCAUCAGCAGAAUUGUAGCCCCUUCAUCAUAUGCUACGCUAUGGGUUUACUAUGAGGUAUUUAUUUAAUCAUUCCUUUGCAAAGAAACAGGCUUGUCUCAUCCUCCCACUACUUUCAAUAACUUAUGUUCUUGCUUUGGGUAUAUUUUUGAAAACUCCUUCUUUAUCUCUUCCUUCCUUUCUUCUUUCCUUCCUUCCUUCUCCCUCCCUCCCUCCCUUCCUUUUGUUUUUUCUUUCUUUCUUCUUUCUUUUUUUUUGAGCUGGGGACCGAACCCAGGGCCUUGCGCUUGCUAGGCAAGUGGUCUACCACUGAGCCAAAUCCCCAACCCCUUCUUUCUUCUUUCUUCCUUCCUUCCUUCCUUUCUUUCUUUCUUUCCUAGGUUUUUGGGACAGAGUUCCUGUGUAGCUUUGGCUGUCCUAAAACUCAAUCCAUAAACCAGACUGACCUUAAACUCACAAAAAGCCAAAUGCCUCUGCCUCCCAAGUGCUGGGAUUAAAGGUAUGCACCACCACCACCCAGGGGGAAACCUAUGUCUGCAAAACCUCGACAAGGUUGACUCAUACUUAAGUUGAGCAUACAGUUCCUUGUCCUCUAAGGACAUUUUUUGAUGAUAAAGUGUCUGGGCUGAAAAAUCUCUAGCUCAAACUACUCCUAAAGUCUCAAGAUAGGAGGAAUCAAGGACUACAUCCAGUUGUAACAAAGCUUAGCUAUGGGCCCAGCCAUGAAAGUGCUGUCUAUCCAUGUGGAAUAGGUCAGCGACACAUCGAAGUCUCCACAGAGUGAGGAAAGCACCUACACAUGAAAGAAGUCCUUGCUGAGGUAUCAGAGUCUAGGUUGAGGAGGAGAGUGUUGAGGACACAGAGGUCCCUGUACUCACAGGAAAACACUAAGAGAAACCAGGCAUGUUACACCUGCAGGAGUGUCAUCUCGAUGGAAGAGAUAAAAAUCAAAUAUCCAAGGAAAGCCCGGGGAAAGAUCCAGUAUUGCUAGUGUAGCAGAAGCCAGAGGCCUCAAACCAGGCCAGCGAGUCAUUGCAACGAGCAUUUGCAAGUGGAGAUGUAUGGACGAAGGGCAUAUAUAUGGUACGACACACUGACGCACUACAGCUUCCACAAGAUUUUUUUUUUCUUUUGAGGGGGAAGUUGCAUGGGCGGAGGGCAGGUAUGAAGGGACAGAGAGAUGAGUGGGAUUGGGGUGCAUGAUGUGCAGUUCACAAAGCAUAAAAAGUUAAAUAUUAAAAAAAAAAAAAACAAAAACCCGGGGUUGGGGAUUUAGCUCAGUGGUAGAGCGCUUGCCUAGGAAGCGCAAGGCCCUGGGUUCGGUCCCCAGCUCCGAAAAAAAGAACCAAAAAAAAAAAAAAAAAAAAAAAAAAAAAAAAAAAAAACCCCAGGGGUUGGGGUUUUAGCUCAGUGGUAGAGCGCUUGCCUAGCAAGCGCAAGGUCCUGGGUUUGGUCCUCAGCUCCGGAAAAAAAACAAAAACAAAAACAAAAACCCAAAUACCUGAAUUUCAUCCAGAAAGCUGAGAGUGAACAUUGUUAAUGACCUGGUGACCUAUUUGCUAUCUGUGGAGGCAGACCUCACCCAAUUUCCCCAGAAUGAUUAUCCCAGACUCUUCCCUCCCUAAACUGAUACUCAUCCUUAGGGGAGCUGUCACUGUAUGGACUGUUGGCCUCUUUCCUCAAUCAGAGACCACCUAGAUUCUAGGCCUUUUAGCUAUAGAACCCCCCAUCAUGGCCACAGAUACUUUGUAAAAAGUUUUUCUCUGUCUUUUAAAUAAUUGAUUUAUUUUUAUUUUAUGUGCACCAGUGUUUUGCCUGCAUGCAUGUCUGUGUGGGGUUGUCAGAUCCUGGAGUUAGUCAGUUGUGAGCCGCCAUGUGGGUGCUGGGAAUCAAACCUGGGUCCCUUGGGAAAGCAGUCAGUGCUCUUUCUUGCAGAGCCAUCUCUCCAGCUUGUAAAGGAUUUCCUAUAUCGUCAUACCUUAAGCUUUAUUGCGUACCUGGAAUGGUACUGACUGGACUGGUUAUUGCCAGCUGUACUAUGUCUUAAUCUGCACUGGGUCUGUGUGUUAAGUGUGCUGACAGUGCUGCCUGGCAUUGGACUCUCCAAGGUCUGAGUGAGCAGCUUCUUCAAGCCCAUACCCCUGCCAUAAUGAAUUGUGUCCUCAACACCUACAGCAGCCAUGGACCAAAAGCUAAGAGACUGUGAGCCCAAUAAACAUGUCCUUCUUCAUUCCCUCAGGGAGUUUGUCAGGGUGACUGAAAGCGAACGCAUCCAAAUUCAUCCUCUGUUGCUUUAUCACAAAGUAGGUCCUAGCCUGGUGGUGGCGGCACUCACUCAAGAGGCAGAGACAGGCGGAUCUCUGAGUUUGAGGCCAGACUAAUUUACUGAGAAAGUUCCAGGACAGCCAAGGUACACAGAGCAACCUUAUCUCACAAAACAAAACAACAACAGAAAACAGAUUUUAGGCAUUAUAAAUGCUUUAGUGGGUGAUCCUAAGAGUUUAGGAUGCUUUUCUAAUAUAUGUGAUUUAUUAGAUAUGAUAUAUAUCAUAUAUGCUAUAUAUCACACACACAUAUCACACUUGUGUAGGCUUUAAAACUUUUUGCAGUAUCAUCUAAUAGCCGGGCACUAUUCAAACUUCUAUAGUUACUUCAUAUUGAUCUGGUUUGUCUGGAUCAAGAGCCAGACAAACCCACAUUAGAUAAUGAUUUUUAAGUCUCUCUUAAUCCAUAGGAGGUUCGUUUCUCCUGCUCUUACUUCCUUUAACAAUAGAUAAAUGAAUCUUUUGGAAGAAUAAAUACACUAUUCGACUAUCCUGCAUUUCGUGUCUGGAUAAUUAGAUCCCCAUAGCACCUGUCAUCAGCACAUCUCUGGACAUUGGAUUGGCAUCCUUUUAAAAGCCCAAAUCCCUAACACAUAUGAUGUCCUUCAGACCCAUCUUUUUUGUCAGAGGAACUCGAAGAUCACAUAGAGAAGUUUCGAAUCAAGGGGUAGAGGAACAAAGAAAAUUUCUGUAAACUGACUUGGUGAGCUUGAAAAGUGAUAAUCGGUGGACUUUAAUGAGUUAAAAAGGAAGGGGCUGGAGAGAUGGCUCAGCGGUUAAGAGCACCGACUGCUCUUCCAGAGGACCCGAGUUCAAUUCCCAGCAACCACGUGGUGGCUCGCAACCAUCUGUAAUGAGAUCUGAUGCCCCCUUCUCAUGUGUCUGGACAGCUACAGUGUACUUAUAUACAUAAAUAAAUAAUUCUUUUUAAAAAAUUAAAGAGUAGAUAUUGGAAGAAAAACUUAGCCAUCUGAGCAGUCAUUACUGAUAAACAUGCCACUGAUGUCAGGGGCUCUAGAAUCACAAUGUGUCACUGUGGCUCUGACCCUCUCUACAAAAUGACUUGUUUCUCUCGAUAGAACUCAUUCAUAAUACAAGGUCAGCUAAUUCAAGCCUUUAUUUUGAACAUGUAGAUUAUACACAAAAACAUUCUCCCUGACCAAACUAUGCAACCCAUGUAAUUCUCUGGAGACUUGAUUUUUAGCACGUUCUUCUCUGUGGGGUGCUGCAAACCCUGCUCGUUGUAUGUAAGGUUCUAACGCUGUAUUAGGACGGGCUGGUCUUACUGCACAGGAAGUGUUGCUGAUGAAGCCAUAUUUCAUUGUGAGACUCUGUUUUUUGUUGCCUUGAAUGUUCCCUGGUCAGAACGUGAUAUAGGAGGGGAAAGGGCGCACACAGAGGACUUUUGGAAACUAAGUGAAAUGAUCAUAUCCUGAAAUGGACGUAUAUAUGUGGUAUAGCGCAUGCGUGUUUUAGUGCCUGCUACGUGCGUACGUGAGUGCCUGUAUGUGUGUGCGAGAGACAAAGACAGAGACAGGGAAACACAGAGAGAGAGAGAGACAGAAAGAAAAACACACAGAGAUAUAGAGACACAGAGAGGAACACACCGACAGAGAGAGAGAGAGAGACAGAGACAGAGAGGCAGAGAGAGACAGAGACAAAGAGAGACAGACACAGAGAGAGAGACAGAGAGACAGACACACAGAGAGAGACAGAGACAGAGAGACACACAGAGAGAGACAGAGAGAAACACAGAAAGAGACAGAGACAGAGACAGAGAGAGAGAGAGAGAGCGAGAGAGAGAGAGAGAGGAGAGAGAGAUCUCCAGUGGUAAGGGAACUGUUGACUGUUUGACCCAUUGAUAACAGUUGUCUCUGGAACUCCAUGUCGAAGUGUUUGACGAACACCUUGGAAUGGCACAGAGCAUAUGCUAGGACUUGGAGAACCUGUAAGAGAUUGGAGCGCCUUGGUUCUCAAGAACGAAAGAUCCUAACGCAGGGCUGUAAAACUGGGAAAACUGCUGCUGUGAUUGCUUUGUUUUUCUUCCACCUUCCGGAUAAGUAUUGAAGUUUCUGUUUGCUUUGGCUUCUUAAUCCUUUUAAGGAAAACACAGCUGUAUGGAGAACUUUAUUUCGUCUUCUUAUGGCUUUUUAGUGCUCCCAAAUUAGUGCGGAUGAUUUCCCAUUGACGUCCGAAGUCUUUCCCACUAACGUAUCAAGCAACGAGGAUUUACAGUCUACACACAUCUGCUCAUCAAAAGAUAAAUAUUUCUGACUCUCACACCAAAGUCAGCUUUCACCCGAUUAAUUAUGAACUCUGUCUGCUUUUUUUAAAAUGUUAGUCUAGCAUAGACAUACUUCAUAUUUAUUAAGUUGUUUUUAUCUUUUAUUGCUUCUUCUUAUUUUUUAUUUUAUCCGAAUGUCAUUAAAUGAAAUUUUAGGUGAUUUUGCACACCUCUAGAAGAGGUACAAAAAAAAAAAAAAUCCCAUUAUUACUUUGAAAUUUAUAAGCACAAAACCGUUUCCUGUUUCUCGGCGAAGUCAUAUGGUGCAAUUCUAUUUUAGGGGAUUUUCUUACGCUUGUAGAAUUUUAUCUGUGGAGCAGUGAAUCAAGUUCUGGGCAGCUGACUACAUGGCUGAGGAUUUUAGAUCCUCUGGAAGCUUAAUAACCCAGAAAUCAAGUCAAAUUAUGAUCACAUCACAGUUAGCAAGUGGGCUUGUAUCUUGCUCUUCAACACACAUGGUUAACGUUAGGGACCGAGAUACACAUGAAAGAUAUAUUUGUCUUUCAAACUUCCAGUUGACGGUGCGAGUGCUGUGCAGAGCUGAGCUCCAGGGCCUUCUUGUUCCGUUCUGUUAACCGGCGCUCACCUGCAAGUCUGGCUCCUUGAAUGUGCAGACAGUCUCACAGGUUUUUGUUCUAUGUUGUUGCUGUUUUGAGGGGAUUGGGGGUGGGCACAGAUGUUUCCUGAUCACAGGAAUCAACACAGUUUCCAGACAGAGUUUGCAGGCUGAGAAGAGAGUUCUAAACCAUACUUUAUAAGCCACCAUCCAACCCACCCCCCAGAAUAGUCUGAGCCAGUGUUCAGCAGCACAAAGUGAGGAGACCAAGCACAGAGCUAGGCUUUGAGCACCACUGUCUUGUCAUUACCUUCGUUUCAUUGCUGAGGCAAUGGAUGACAGCCUUGAGCCUCAGGAAAAAAAAAAUACCCAUGUCUGUUCCUCUCCCAUCCCCUUUCCCUGUAACACAUUUCCAAAUCUGACACCGAUAAGUUUAAACCAAUAUUGGUAUCGGAUUCUGAGUCUAGAGAAGAGAAAUAGGAUACUUAAAAACUCACAAAUGCUCUUCUGGGAUGUGAGUUUUAUAGGGACAGCUUUUGGAUUUAAAACAGACUGUGUUCUUGACGGUGCAAUUGUGAAUUUUGCCUCCUGGGUGGCUUUGGAAGCCAAAUCCCAAGACAGUUAUUGUAUGAGAAUAGAAUUGCUUUACCACCUAAUAGUGAAGCCUGGGACAUAUUAAUGAAGAAAAAUUACUCAAAGUAUAAAGUUUAUUAUCAUAUGUGAUUAAAAAAAUUAUUGUAGGGAAUGGAUUUCCAUUUUUCCUCCAUCCCUCCCUCCUUCCCUCUGCCUUAGCCCCCCAAAAAAUCUGAUGUAUAAAAUAUAUUUUAUGAAAUAUCAGAGUAUAUCUAUGGUCCUGCCUAAUUGUCCUCUGUUCAUCUGAGGAUCAAGAAAGGAUCUGGGUCAUUAUUUAACACGUUCUGGUUCUAAGAGAACCUGAUAAACAAUCAUAAAACAGAAUUUUGGUAAAAUGUGUUCUCUCAUGUAUUCCUGUUCUCAAACCCCACUAAAAUGUCCCUGAAGGAAUUACAAGAAGUAACAAGGACAAAGGGAAGAGAAGACGGCUCCAUUCCAUUGCUAAUGGGAGAACCCCAAGGUGCUGGAAGCAGCCUACAACCGGCGGAAACGCGGCACGCAGGCACAUCACCGGAAGAGCCGCUGUCCACGCACGUGCUGACUCAGGUUGAGCGUCUGGUCUAGCAAGCUCCCAGGUAAAGCUCAGAGCUGAUCCUGAGCCUCGCCACAGGGAGAACAAACGCUUCUGCUGUUAAAAUUAAACAUUCACGCUCUGCGGGGAGGCGGUGGUGCACGUCUUUAAUCCCAACACUCAAGAGACAGAGGCAGGCGGAUCUCUGUGAGUUUAAGGCCAACCUGGUCUACAGAGUGAGUUCCGAGACAGCCAAGGUGACACGGAGAAAAACAAAAACAAAAACAAAAAACAAACAAAAAUCGACAACAACAAAAAUUUAUACUUUUCAGUCAACCUAUCAGCAUGUGUUUAGCAAGUAUGUACGUUGUGAACAGUUGUGCAAUAUAGCAAAACAUAAGCCCUAUUUACGUCUCUUUCGGCAUUUUUUAAAAUCUGAAGAGAAUGUAAGUGCUAGAAACAGUAAGACAUUGUAUGGAGGAGCUGUGGUGCAUCUUUCUAGCUGGGAUAGGAGAAAGUAUGGCAGUAAUUCACUGCCGGCCAAUGGGAACAAUGACAGCGGACACUUUCAUUCAGAGCUGGGGGUGGGGUAGGGACUCAGUUUUCUUAUUUUAGAAGGAUGGGAAUGGGUUGGAGAGGCUAAAUGACACGCCCAAGGUCACCCAACCAGUAAGCCAACUGAGCUGGAAAUAAAAUCAGCUAAGUUCUGUGAGUUACGCAGCUGAAGGUGGUGGCAGUGGUAAGGGUGUUCCUGAAGCGAUAAAGGCAUUGCUAAAAUAGUAGUGGUUAAUAAAGGAUAAAAUGGGAAGGAUGGAGCAGGGGCUUUUUUCCUUAAACAAAGACCAUCUCUGCUACCCUUUUUACUAGUGUCUUUGUUUGGGAUGAAAGACUGAAUGGCUGUGACCAAUAAAACUAGGACAAAGAGAGGGCCUGGGGCAUCCCAGUGUGCUCUUGGCCCGUUUGGGUCUUCCCCGUGUGUGGUAAAGAGGACAGAAGCAAAGACUCUACAUUGCAACUCGAAAGCGAGGGUACAAAACACACAGGAGUCCCACUGAAUGCAUCUGGCAAGCAUUUCGUCUUCCCUUAAAUAAAAUAAAUUCCCUUAAUAAAGCCAAUGGAGGCAGAGUUGGUGGUGGGGGUGAGGGGUAGGGAGGAUAGGAAUGAUUUAUGUCAGGGCUAGGAGAAGCCCUUGACGGCUCGAAACGACCUAUUUAGAACUGCUCCAUCUAAAGCCAAGUUAUACACUGGUUUCCCUCCUUGUGCCAAUCUUACAUUUAAAAAAUAUAACUUUUAUAAAUAUCAUCAUUAGUGCUAUAAGCACAGGGAAGUAUAAGUUAAUUCUACAGUAAAGUGAUUAUUAAAUCCAUUAGUCAUAUACUGGGAAUCCAUAAUUAACUUAUUCUCCAGCAUCAAGUAAAUGAUUCUACUGUGUGCUUUAAGAAAGCAAUUGUUCACUAAUAUGCAAAAUACAGCAGAACUAUUAGAUCAUAAAGCCAUGCAAUCUUAUAAUUAAAUUAUAAAUUUUACAUAUUUUAAUAAUGUGCUUUAUAUACUUUAAUUGUUUUCUACGCAAGAUUAAAAGGAGGUGCCAUGGUUUUUCUCAGACAUAUUAUAUCUUGACCUGAACCAUGCAAUACUUAAUAAUAAUUGAUGGGUAUCUACCAGGGAUGACAGCAGUCUUUCAGGAGCAUCAGAUAUUUCUUUGAAUUACUGCAGAGGAUUAAAAUGAAGGUAUGCAUUAGUUUUAAGUGGAGUCACAGUUAUACCCUUGAGCUUUCUUUGUCUCCCCCCCCCCAUUCCCACCCCCCCGCUUGGCUGCUAUAACCACCAUAGGUAUCCACAUUCUCUGUGCAGGCCACACCAGUGGACUGGCCCCUGUUUGCACUGCCUUAGCUGUACAUGUGGGUAAAGGCAACGUGCGCAUUAAUUCUCUGCAGGGAACUUGUGCACCCACAUGAGCAAUCUAUUGUUGUUAUUGUGUUCUGGAUUAAAUAAUGAUGCCAUUAUUUUCCAUGUGCAGAAUUAAAUGUAUUUGAAAGAACUGGGAAAUACCACAGAUCUGUGUUACGGGGAGUUGCUUCAGUUUUUCUAAAGCCCUGAUUGCUGCAGAGGGAACUACACUGUGGGUCCCCCCUUUUCUUUUCCUUUGGAUAGCGCUAAACUCCCGCUGGCAUGGUUACUCUAUCCCAGCCUGCUUUCCAGUUUCCAGAAGCAGUGUGCACAGAAGAUGCCCUGUGCAUGAGAAGAAUAAACACCCAUUCAUUCCUCCAGUCGUUAAGCAAACUCAGAGAGACUAUAGCGGAUGCUCAGCCCUGAGCUCAGCUUUGCAAGUAUAUGGAUGAAAGGAGGGAUGGUGUUAUUUGACUUGGGCCAACAAAUAAGUCCACUUAUGCUGGAUGUUAAGCAUAUUAGCUUGCCCAGGGUUGCUAUAACAACACAACAUGGUGGGGUGACUUGACAGAAGUCCAUUUUCACAACUCUGGAGGCUAGAAGUCCAAGGUCAGUGUGCUCACCAUACUUCUCUUCUUGCAGAUAAGAAUCAUCCGCAGAUUCCCCAAUCCUGGAGUUAGAAAUGCUUGUCAGCUGCCAUGUGGGUUCUGGGAACGGGUCCUCUUGAUCACCAAGCCAUUUCUCCAGCUCUGUUUGGUCCCGUGCCUUUCAGCUCAGUCAUAGUUUCACCUUUGGCGGGCUUAUUAUUCACACCCAGCUGCUGGCCAAAUGUAUCCAAUGGAUGCUAGCAGGGAGACAGAAUGGACAUGCUCGGACAAUGUUUAGUACAGCUCUAUAAUCGCUCCAUUUUAUUAUUGUUGUUCUUAAACUUAAUUUGUAAAAUCGAUUUUGUCACACGUAUGUAUUGGAAGAAAAUGGCGUCGGCAGAUCUAGUACUAACUAUGAUUCCAGGCAUCGUCUGCCUAGUCUUGUGUUAGGCAUCUUCUGCAACCUGACAAGUACUGGGUCUCAAACCCUGCUGCUGCCAUAUCCCACCCUCUACCCUAAACUUCUCCAGCCCCAGAACUGGGCUGCUCUCCUCACCCCUGCCAGAGUGGACCUUUACUAUUGCAAGUCAGCCAUUUUGGUUACCUCCUACCUAAUUGUUUACCCUUUACUCUCCUGCAUCUCCUUCCUCCCUCCCCCUCUCCUCACCUGGCUGGCUCAGGGCAUAUUCUAUGGACUCUCCCAGAUGUCCUUGCCUCUGGCUAUGCUCUUCCUUUCGUCUACAAUAAACCUUCUCUCUCUCUUCCUCUUCCUUCUCUUCCUCCUCCCUGCCUCCUGCCCCUGUACCUGGGAGCAGUCAUGUCCUUCCUUCUUUUUUUCACCCAUAGAGGUGACUAUUGCAUUCCCCUUCUAAAGGCAAGAUCCUGGUACCUCCCUACUUAAAAAUCUCAGACUUGAAAAAAGGAAUUAUGAUUUGAGUACAGAUUGUCACACACAUAUGGCUGUCAUGUUCCAGAACCUGUAAUGGGAAAUGUGAAAAGAUAAUAAUAAUAAUAAUAAUAAUAAUAAUAAUAAUAAUAAUAACAACAACAACAACAAUAACAAUAAUAAUAAUGUUGUUGAUGAUGAUGAUGAUGACGAUAACAAUGGCUUGGUAGGGAUGGGCAGAUAUGGAUUAGUUGAGAUACUGCACAUAGAAAUAAAUUACAAGCUGGAUCUAGAAGCCCGUGGCCUAUUGGGAUCGCACAUCUGUUACUAGGUAGCAGUUUGUCUUCUCUGUCUUGGAAUGAGGAUUAAAAUAGUCCUUACCUCUUAGGUUAUGAAGAUUAGAUGAGUCAAUUUAACAAAAACGUUUGUGAUGGGAUCUGACACAUCCUAACAAUGAUGGCUUAUAAUAAUAAUAAUCAUGGAAUAAUAAUAAGUAUUGUGAUUAUUAUUAUAUGUGGUGAUUUGAAUAUGCUUGACUCCUGGGAAGUGGCAGUAUUAGGAGGUGUGACCUUGUUGGAGGAAACUUGUCACUGUGUAGAUGGACUUUGAGCAUUCAAGCUCUGUCCAGUGUGGAAGAGAAAACCUCCUUCCUGGAUACCUGCAGAAACCAGUCUCCUCCUACCUGCCUUCAGAUCAAGAUGUAGGUAGAACUCUCUGCUUCUCCAGCACCACAUCUGACUGGUGCCGUGCUUCCUGCCAUGAUGAUAAUAGACUGAACCUCUGAAACUGUAAGCCAACACCAAUGAAACGUUUGCCUUUAUAAGAGUUGCCUUGGUCGUGGAUGGUGUCUCUUCACAGCAGUGAAAAUCCCAACAAAGACACACACACACACACACACACACACACACACACGUAUUAGAGGUAGUACAAGUAUUUAACCAUUGCUCCUAGAAGUGCAUCUGCAUCUGUUAAUGGGUUCACAUAAAGUGUGCUCCUCCUAUCUCCAAUAGGCAUUUUUGCCCUGAACGUAACUGUGAUAAACCAGGUGCCAAGUGCUCAGAGAAGUAAGUCUGUGUUGUGAGGGCUGCUCCAAAAAGAGCUGUGCAGGGGAAACAGGAGUCUUUGGCCCUGGAAAUCUGUGGGUUUUCUCUGUCCAGCUGUACGGAGAAAACCAUGGGAAAGUAGAAGCAAGCGGUGGGCUGUAGGAUACUGCGGAGCUCUUUCAAAAGGUUUAGCCUAUUCCCCAGGGAAGGAUAUGGAGCUUGGGGAGCAUCCACCCAUUUAGCAAAAUGGAAAUGAGUGAACAAUUCAGACCCUACCAGGCCUCCUUACUUGGAUCCUCCUACUCUGUGACAAUCCAAACUAAACUUGGCUUCCGAAAAUUGGCUGACAGAGCAAGGGCUUGUUUAAUUUGUGAGUUUCGGACACAGAAAUCAUUCUUUAUGGCAGCUCCAUUAUUGACACGUGGGGGACUUAGCUCUGUCCUGUUUAUAUAACAGCAGUUGAUAGAUAGUGACCUCAUAGUUGGAUAUUUAUGAGAGCUUUCAUUUCAAAUAAUAUAGUUUUGGCCCAUGGCAAUGCUAAGGCUCUUACCUCCUAUUAUGGAGAAGCUAAAUCUUUAGGAUAUUGUAACCGUAACUGCGGGGUCCCUUUGAUCUACCCGGAAGAACUGCAAAAGUUAAUAUUUUCGAAAGCAAUGAAAGCUUUAUUAUAAAAAGUCUCAUUGGGAAGUUAUCUGUCCCUAAAACGUAUAGGCUCCCAGAAGGUCAGAUACAUAAAAGAGCAACUUUCUAUACUUCUUUUUUUCCCUUAUGAUUCCUAUCCCAUAACAAGGUAAUUUAAAAGGAGGGGGAAAGUCUCUGGCUGUCCUUUAGAGAAACUGAGUACCUUGCCAUGCCCUCUAGCUAGGUCCCAGCUCUGAAAGCCGCUGCCAAAGCCCAUUAGUCAUAGUUUAAGGACAAUAGCCCUCACUUAGUCAGGUAAGAGGCCUCUGCUGACAAAUGCUGCCCCGGCCCUUAAGACAACCACUGUACUUGUGGUGACUUUCUUCGCUCCAGCUCUGAGGGAACUUAUCUUAUUCAAUGGUAUGGAGCUCUUUGGGCUUCUGUGGGUUUUAAAUCUUGGCAAUAUGAUGGGAGAGAAUCAAAAAGAAAGAUCAGAUGGUGUUAAUCCCACUGGGGGAGAAUAAGACAAUGUCUUAGGGUCUGCAUUGCUGUGAAGAGACACCAUGACCAAGGCAAGGACAACAUUUAAUUGGGGCUGGCUUACAGCUUCAGAGGUUUAGUCCAUUAUCAUCAAGGCAGGAACAUGGCAGCAUUCAAGCAGGCAUGGUGCAGGAGGAGCUGAGAGUUCUAUAUCUUCCUCUGAAGGCUGCUAGCAGAAUACUGACUUCCAGGCAGCUAGGAUGAGGGUCUUAAGCCUAUGCCCAUGGGGACACACCCACUCCAACAAGCCGCACUCCCGAUAGUGCCACUUCCUGGACUGAGCAUAUACAAACCAGCACAGACCACAUCCACAAUCUUGAGCCAAAUUUGAAGCAAACUUGAUUUUUAUUGGGGUGCACCCGAGAGCUGGCCAGUGACUGCCUCUUAAGUAGGGUUAAAAGGAACAGCCAUUAGGAUCCUUUCAAGGAGGAAAAUCACUCGUCAUUCAAAGUAGGUUUACAGAAGACAAUGGAGCUUUAAGAAAGCACAGAAAAACAACGACAAACAAACACCAAGGCCAGCCUUCGUUGCGUGGUCAAACAUGUGAUUAGGGAAGAGGUUAGGGAGGGUUUAGGUGUUCCCCCAAGUCAUGGGUUGGGGCAGGGCAGGUUCCAGGAAACAGACUGAAGCUUACUUUGAACAAUACAACACAAUGGCUCCUGCCUUCAAAAUGGAGUCAGGCAGGUUCCUCAGUGGGUUGCAGCCCUAGCUGUGUCAGGCAUGAGGCUUCUGCUGAAAAAUACUGCCCCAUCCCUUAAGACAACCAUGGCAUUUGGGGUGGCCUUCUUUACUCCAGCUCUGAGAGGUUAUCCUCUUCAACAAUACUCUUCAAAGACAGACCCUAGGAGCCUGUAGAGAAGUGCCGAGUUGAUCUCUGCAGCUCUCUGGAAGGGAAGGGGAGGUGUGAAAGACUGAGGAACAAAAGUUGUCUGAGUUGGGGCAAACACAGCAAGAGCUAAAUGGCUAGACUAAAAACAACAUCUGAACCAACCAAACCAACCAAAAAUUGUGCAUGAAAUGACAGAAAACAAAACAAAACAAAACAAAACUUAGUAGCGGCCUUACGUUUUCUCAUUGUUGUUUUUAUAAUGCAGAAAAUUAAACAGGGCCCAGAGCAACUGCUCACUCUUUUGAGAGAUCGGGGGAGAAACUAUACUCAGAAUUGGCCCUGACAUCCAACCAUCAUUACCCCAGACUCAGACUGUACUGGGAGAUAAGGCCUGUAAGGGACGAUUAAGUGGGGAGAAGAGCACUAGAGUGGGUUCCAAUCCACAGUGCCUGGUGUCCCUGUAAGAAAAAGAAAUAGAAUUUAGACAUAGAACAAAUAUAAUGAGGCGCUUGUGUGGAGACAGGAGAAAGAUAGUCACCUAGGAGCCAAGGACAGAAGUUUUAGAAGCAACUUUGAACCAAGGACUUCUACCCUUACUGCAAUAGGCACUUGUUUUGUUGAUAGACCAAAAUGCCUGGGAAAAAAACAGCUUAAGGAAGAGAGGGUUUAUUUUUAGCUCAUGGUCUGAGGUUAUUUGGCAAUAGGGGUUUGAGAUAGCUGGUCACAUUGUAUCUGCAGCAAGGAAGACUCUCUCUCUCUCUCUCUCUCUCUCUCUCUCUCUCUCUCUCUCUCUCUCCCUUUUUCUUUUUUUAGUCAUGGACCCUAGACCACACAAGAUGGUAAGAUGGUGCUAUGUAUGGGUCUUCCUACCUCAACCCCAUCUAGAUGACCCCUCACACACAUAACCCAGAGGCUAACCUGAUAUAGGGGCAUUCCCAGAGGCUUGUCUCCUGGAGAUGACAAUCAGUAUUAGUCAACUGAACUGUGGGACAAUACAUUUCUGUUCUUUGAGUCUCCCAAUCUAUGGAAUUUGUUAUGGUGGUGCAAGCAAACUCUUGAGUCAUUUGGAGGAAGGAGGAGAAGAAAGAAAUCUAAUUUACAGCCGUGCAAAUCACCAAAUACAGGUGGUACUGCUUAAAGAUAGACUUAGUUUUGAAUUAUGGAUACGUGUAUGUUGGGAGGCAUUGCAUGCAUUUGAGUGCAGGUGUCUACAGAGGUCAGACGUGUUAGACCUCCGUGGAAUUGUUGGAGUGAUAUACACCACAUUUUCCAGUUAUAGGUGGUUUAUGAGCAGCUCAGUGUACAAACUGGGAACUGAACUUGGGUCCUCUGGAAGAGCAAUGUAUCUUUUUACUUGCCAAACAUCUCUCCAUACCAUGGUAUCACUUUUCAAAACAUGAAGUACUAAGUGUUGACUCUACCGUGCCUUUUGCUUGGAUUCUUCUACAGGCUAAAUCAGGGUUCACCUGCAAAUCCCCCAAAGCCCAGGACCACCCCCGAGGUGAAAGGUUAGAUUUCAAAGAUAUACACUCAGACUUCUGGUUUUCACACAUCUUCUGUCUUAUUAAGUCUUAAGAAAGAGUUACUUGUCAGGAUUGAUAUCUAAACAUUUUAAAAAAAAUCUGGUUCAAAAUAUGUUUUUAGCAAAAAACUAUUUCUCAAAGUAAGUUUCAAGUUUCAAUGCAAUUCUAUCAGAAUUUUCCCAUAUACCUGUACCAUCGUAGUCUAUGAAACAAAAGACUUGAACUGCACAGAAAAGAUAAAAGCCUUUCCUGGGAACUGAAAAUUAAGUGGAAAGUAACUUUCUAGGGACCCAGCCUUGUGGGUAAUAUUUAGCAAAACCUUUCAUAACGACUUCUGCUUGAACCAUAUUGUAAACUCUGCUCACUUGAGAGCAAGUUUUAAUAAGAAUAAGGCCAAGCAUUGGUCACCCUCUUGCUUCCUGCUUUGUGAUGUGAUCUAUUUCCUUAAAGGAGUCCCCAUCACAGCCAUCCACCCCAGUGUGAUGCGUCCUUGCCAGAGCCCCAUCUUGCUGAUUAGACUCCUCGAAUUCAUAAUUAUGAACCGCAAACCUCGUUCCUCCAGAGUGUCAGCCUGCUUCGGAGAGUUCAUUGUAGCGGUGUAAAAACAAACUAAUGUAAGUGCUGUCUUCCCAAGGACCUCUGCAUUUUCUCCAGCAUAAGCAGAAAGAUCGGAUAGGCAUGAUGCUGUGUGCCUUUAAAACUAGCUCUUGGGAGGUAGAGGUGUGAGGACUUCUGUGAGUUCAAGGCCAGCCUAGUCUACCUAGCAAGUUUCAGGAAUACCUAGAGACUCUGUCUCCAAAAACAAACAAACAAACGGUGGAUUGCAAGUCUCCUGGAGUUUCCCCGGUAGAAGACUCAUGCAAAUUGGUCUCCAUUUCAGCAUUCCAUGAAGUCAGGCUGAUGUUUAGUGUCAGUGGCCCCUGUUAGUAUUUUGCUGUUGCUGCCAUCUGUUUAUUUGAGCAGAGUUUGGGGAUGGCGUAAAGGAGAGGUAGAAGAUUAUUAUGUAAAAGCACAAGAGCAUGGGACCCGCAGCUCAGGGACCGACAUACUAAUUAGAAAUUCCAGGAACUCUUCACACUUUCCGCAGCUCUAAUCUUCUACUUCAACUGCCAGGAGAAAGCAAGUGGGUUUUAUUUUAAGCUGUCAGACCGACUUUACUGUUUGCCGAGCCUCAAACGAAGAGAGCAUCUGUUUUUUCGAAAAUGGAAACCUGGUGCUUGAUACCCACUUUUUGCUUUUUAAGAUGCCCCUAAAUCCAGAGGACUGGAUCCAUUAGGUGCCAACAAAAGCCAGUUAAACCCGAUCCUGCGAGCUUUGUUUUGUUUUUCCCCCGAUAAUGUGUCUUUUAUUUUUAUACAGCAACCUCUCAGCAGUAGUCCCAAUAAAAAGAGCCAUCAUUCACCGUGCACCCGGCCGCACGCCAGGAGCGGCGGCGCUAAGUGUUCUGCACACCUCGCACCUUUGUGUGCAUCAGACAUGUUGUGUCACUGAAGCCCACGAGGGUGACUCUCUACAGAGAGGGAAAUAAAGCUGAACAAGGUUAAACCAGGCCACAGAACUUUGUGAUGGAGGGCAGGACCAGGACUUAAACCUAACUGGACUCAGGUCAAUGGCUCCAGCUGACAGCUUGAGCUCCUCACGUGGUCAAUUCGUUUGCCCAAUUCAGGUCCAUGUCAGCCUGAUGAGGUACUGUUUGGGGGAGCAGCGUGAGUUCAGCCAGCUUGUCUAUGGCAGCAAAGGAGAAGGAGAUCUGCUCCUAUUGCUUGCUUCCUUUCUUUCAUACUCAUUAUUGUGCAACAGACUCAGAGUUGGGAGACUUCUAACAAUGUGUAAGAUUUAAGUAAAUAAGUGUGCUGGGUGAAAUCCUAGUCCAAACAGACCAGUUUGAAUCCCAUCUCUUCCCAUGUACAGCAUACCUUCCUGUGUACAUAACUGCCAGGCGACCACUUAACUUCGAACCUCUAUUUGUAGAAUGGGUUAAUGGCAUCUAUCUUAGAGGGGUAAAGUCAGAACAAGAGGUAGGGCAGAUGAGGUACUUGGUAUGCACUUGGCUUUCAAUAAACUGCUGGGGACGGGUAUCUUUGCACCCUGGACUCCUGUUUUACGUGACUCACAACAUCAAGUCUAUCUAAAAUAUUGGAGAAGAAGCAAAAUGAGAAACCACUGGUGGACAGCAUUAUGGUGAUCACUCUUAAUAUUUUCCCCAAGCAAACUGCAUACAAGUUGUUUUAUGCCGGUGUUCUAUCUGGAAAACAUUAUAAAACUUUGAGCAGACAAUGGCACGUUAGUACGGUGCUUGCCAAAGCACCAUAUGCUUUUCUGAUAAAGAUAGAACUUUAUUGCUACUUUUUAAUGUACUCUCUUGUCUAAUACAGUAAGCAAAUGGGAGAUAAUUUGAAAUACUUUUACCACCAUUUGCAGUGUCAGAACAUGCAACUUACCUUUAAGAAUGCAAACGAUUGGGGUUAGGGAUUUAGCUCAGUGGUAGAGCACUUGCCUAGGAAGUGCAGGGCCCUGGGUUCUGUCCCCAGCUCCGAAAAAAAGAACCAAAAAAAAAAAAAAAAGAA